GGAGGAGAUGAAGAUGACAACAAUGAAGAGGAGCUUUGGCAAUACUUUCAUCAAGCGUACAUGAUCAAAUUCAGAAGCUUAGAACAAAAUAAAAAUCUUUGGAGCAUUGACACAUGAAGACACAAGCGUGCAACAUGCAACACAUGGAGAUGUUAGAAGUGAACCAUAAAGGAUUACAAAAGAUGACAUCAUGUUGUAUGGACACUUUGGAUUGUCGCACAAAGGACCAUGGCUUCACAUAAACAUGAACAAGGUGAGGAGUCUAGCUAUAUGACUA
rnacentral:lncRNA from 1 species